rnacentral:rRNA from 1 species
UAAACAUUGAUACAUUAUUACAUUUUCAAUCCGCCCGGGUAUUACAGGCACCAGCUUAAAACCCAAAGGACUUGGCGGUGCUUAAGAUCCCCCUAGAGGAGCUUGUUCUAGAACCGAUAAUCCACGUUUAACCUCACCCUCCCUUGUUUUUUCCGCCUAUAUACCGCCGUCGUCAGCUUACCCUGUGAAGGUCUAACAGCAAGCAAAAAUGGCACAGCCCAAAACGUCAGGUCGAGGUGUAGCUUAUGAGAGGGGAAGAAAUGGGCUACAUUCUCUAAAAAUAGAAGCACACGGACAAUAUAUUGAAACAUAUAUUUUAAGGAGGAUUUAGUAGUAAGUAGAAAUUAGAAUAUUCCACUGAAUUCGGCCCUAAAGCGCGC